GACGAACGCUGGCGGCGUGCUUAACACAUGCAAGUCGAACGGUGAAGCCCCAGCUUGCUGGAGUGGAUCAGUGGCGAACGGGUGAGUAACACGUGAGCAACCUGCCCCUGACUCUGGAAUAAGCUCUGGAAACGGCGUCUAAUACUGGAUACGAGAAGGGUCCGCAUGGGCACUUUCUGGAAAGUUUUUCGGUUGGGGAUGGGCUCGCGGCUUAUCAGCUUGUUGGUGGGGUAAUGGCUCACCAAGGCGACGACGGGUAGCCGGCCUGAGAGGGCGACCGGCCACACUGGGACUGAGACACGGCCCAGACUCCUACGGGAGGCAGCAGUGGGGAAUAUUGCACAAUGGGCGCAAGCCUGAUGCAGCGACGCCGCGUGAGGGAUGACGGCCUUCGGGUUGUAAACCGCUUUCGGCAGGGAAGAAGCGAAAGUGACGGUACCUGCAGAAGAAGCACCGGCUAACUACGUG
rnacentral:rRNA from 1 species